rnacentral:lncRNA from 1 species
UUGUGUAUUGUAGGGAAGAAGGAUCCAGGUGAAACUCUUGCUCCACAGUGUUGGCUAUUCUUCUCCCACAGACUGGCACAAGGGAGAGCGACACUUGAAUACGUGGUGAGAUGUGUGAAGGGCAUGACAAUGGAUGCAAACACCCUGGUCUUACUCUUCCAGAAGAAAAAGGGAAAACCGAACCUGAAUGUCCCCUGAAAGUGAAGAAAUGUCCAUACUUCUAUUUGCAGAUUGGACUGUGCUUUCCCUGGACAUGAUGAAAACACAAGAUUGAGUGCCAUCCUAUUUAUUGUUGUGGUUUUCCUAAUCUAAACUAAGCCUACUUUUGAAAUUUCCUGGAUGCAAAGGUGGUUAAAUCCCAAAUGCUUAUGGUUCUUCAAAAAUAUAAACAC